rnacentral:rRNA from 1 species
CCUACGGGUGGCAGCAGUGAGGAAUAUUGGUCAAUGGACGAGAGUCUGAACCAGCCAAGUAGCGUGAAGGAUGACUGCCCUAUGGGUUGUAAACUUCUUUUAUAUGGGAAUAAAAUGUUCCACGUGUGGGUUUUUGUAUGUACCAUAUGAAUAAGGAUCGGCUAACUCCGUGCCAGCAGCCGCGGUAAUACGGAGGAUCCGAGCGUUAUCCGGAUUUAUUGGGUUUAAAGGGAGCGUAGGUGGAUUGUUAAGUCAGUUGUGAAAGUUUGCGGCUCAACCGUAGAAUUGCAGUGGAAACUGGCAGUCUUGUGUACAGUAGAGGUGGGCGGAAUUCGUGGUGUAGCGGUGAAAUGCUUAGAUAUCACGAAGAACUCCGAUUGCGAAGGCAGCUCACUGGACUGCAACUGACACUGAGGCUCGAAAGUGUGGGUAUCAAACAGGAUUAGAUACCCCUGUAGUC